rnacentral:tRNA from 1 species
GGGCGUUUAGCGCAGUGGUAGCGCGUUCGCUUUGCAUGCGAAAGGUCCAGGUUUCGAUCACCUGAAUGUCCA